rnacentral:rRNA from 1 species
GUAGCUGGUCUGAGAGGAUGACCAGCCACACUGGAACUGAGACACGGUCCAGACUCCUACGGGAGGCAGCAGUGGGGAAUAUUGGACAAUGGGGGCAACCCUGAUCCAGCAAUGCCGCGUGUGUGAAGAAGGCCUGAGGGUUGUAAAGCACUUUCAGUGGGGAGGAGGGAUGAUAGGUUAAGAGCCAAUUAUUUGGACGUUACCCACAGAAGAAGCACCGGCUAACUCCGUGCCAGCAGCCGCGGUAAUACGGAGGGUGCGAGCGUUAAUCGGAAUUACUGGGCGUAAAGAGUGCGUAGGUGGUUAAUUAAGUUAUCUGUGAAAUCCCUGGGCUUAACCUGGGCAGGUCAGAUGAUACUGAUUGACUCGAGUACGG